rnacentral:rRNA from 1 species
CGGGUGAGUAAUGAAUAGGAAUCUGCCUAGUAGUGGGGGACAACCUGGUGAAAACCAGGCUAAUACCGCAUACGCCCUACGGGGGAAAGGGGGCUUCGGCUCUCGCUAUUAGAUGAGCCUAUUUCUGAUUAGCUUGUUGGUGAGGUAAUGGCUCACCAAGGCAACGAUCAGUAGCUGGUCUGAGAGGAUGAUCAGCCACACUGGGACUGAGACACGGCCCAG